GCCCUUGUGCCAGCAGCCGCGGUAAUUCCAGCUCCAAUAGCGUAUAUUAAAGUUGUUGCAGUUAAAAAGCUCGUAGUUGGAUCUCGGGUCCGGGCUCGCGGUCCACCUCGCGGUGGUUACUGCCCGUCCCGACCUACCUACCGGUUUUCCCUUGGUGCUCUUAACUGAGUGUCUCGGGUGGCCGGAACGUUUACUUUGAAAAAAUUAGAGUGUUCAAAGCAGGCGCUUCGCCUGAAUAAUGUUGCAUGGAAUAAUGGAAUAGGACCUCGGUUCUAUUUUGUUGGUUUUCGGAACUCGAGGUAAUGAUUAAGAGGGACAGACGGGGGCAUUCGUAUGAUGGUGUUAGAGGUGAAAUUCUUGGAUCGCCGUCAGACGAACUACUGCGAAAGCAUUUGCCAAGAAUGUUUUCAUUAAUCAAGAACGAAAGUCAGAGGUUCGAAGACGAUCAGAUACCGUCCUAGUUCUGACCAUAAACGAUGCCGACUAGCGAUCCGCCGGAGUUGUUUCAAUGACCCGGCGGGCAGCUUCCGGGAAACCAAAGUCUUUGGGUUCCGGGGGAAGUAUGGUUGCAAAGCUGAAACUUAAAGGAAUUGACGGAAGGGCACCACCAGGAGUGGAGCCUGCGGCUUAAUUUGACUCAACACGGGAAAGCUUACCCGGCCCGGACACCGUAAGGAUUGACAGAUUGAGAGCUCUUUCUUGAUUCGGUGGGUGGUGGUGCAUGGGCCGUUCUUAGUUGGUGGAGCGAUUUGUCUGGUUAAUUCCGAUAACGAACGAGACUCUAGCCUAUUAAAUAGUUCGCCGAUUUCGAUCUGUCGGCGUUAACUUCUUAGAGGGACAAGUGGCUUUUAGCCACGCGAGAUUGAGCAAUAACAGGUCUGUG
rnacentral:rRNA from 1 species